AACGAACGCUGGCGGCAUGCCUAACACAUGCAAGUCGAACGAUCCCUUCGGGGCUAGUGGCGCACGGGUGCGUAACGCGUGGGAACCUGCCCUUAGGUUCGGAAUAACUCAGAGAAAUUUGAGCUAAUACCGGAUAAUGUCUUCGGACCAAAGAUUUAUCGCCUUUGGAUGGGCCCGCGUUGGAUUAGCUAGUUGGUGGGGUAAAGGCCUACCAAGGCGACGAUCCAUAGCUGGUCUGAGAGGAUGAUCAGCCACACUGGGACUGAGACACGGCCCAGACUCCUACGGGAGGCAGCAGUGGGGAAUAUUGGACAAUGGGCGAAAGCCUGAUCCAGCAAUGCCGCGUGAGUGAUGAAGGCCUUAGGGUUGUAAAGCUCUUUUAACCGGGAUGAUAAUGACAGUACCGGGAGAAUAAGCCCCGGCUAACUCCGUG
rnacentral:rRNA from 1 species